rnacentral:ncRNA from 1 species
GAGGAAGCCCGGUGCGAAUCCGGCGCGGUCCCGCCACUGUGAGCAGGACCCCUCCGGGCCCCGCGAGUCAGGAACUC